rnacentral:misc_RNA from 1 species
UGUACUGAAAUAUAAAACUGGCAAUGACGGUCUAAGAGGCGCGAAAUUUUUGUUUACUUUCCGAGUUUUCUCUCAUUUGAUAUUGGUCUAUUUCUAUUUAAUUAAAAUGAAAAUAAAAACUGAACCAUUAUCCCCAUCAAAGUCAGAUCUUCCAGCAAUAUCUGAUGAAGAAACUGAAGAAAAAGUGAAGAAACAGGAGGAAGGUGUAGACAAUGGAAAUUGUUCCUCUGAAUCAUCAGAUAAAAGAACAACAGUAAAAGUUGCACAGUCUUCUCGAAAAUCUAAAAAGGAAACAGGACAACAGCCUUCUAUUUCUUCAUUUUUUACCAAAAUGCAAAACAAAAGAAAACUGGAAGAAGAUGAGAAUUCCAAUUCCAAUGGGCAAUCAAAAAAAUCUAAAUCAAAUGGUAAAGUGGAGGAAGAUGACAAAAGGAAGGUGGAAAAAGAUGAAAAUUCCAAUGGGCAAUCAAAAAAAUCUAAAUCAAGUGACAAAGUGUCAAAUGGACAAAAAAGUUCAUUGUUGCCUAUGCGAUGUCCAGAUUGUAGACAGCAUUUAGAUGGUCCAGAUUUAAAAUUAUAUCCUGGUGACCCUGACGAGGCACAAGAAGAGUUCAUUAUGUUAACUGCACCAAUCCUAUCACUCCAUACUGAAGGUGAUUACGACACUGUGGAUGUUAAUGAAAGAGUGCAGCAUCGCAUUACAAAUUUCAGUGUUUAUGAUAAGCACACACAUCUUGUACCUUUUGAUCAAGGCCUUAUUGAGAAGAAUGUUGAAUUGUUCAUUAGCGGUUAUGUUAAACCAAUUUUCGUAGAAGACCCAUCUGAUACACAUGGUGGUGUGCUGGCACGAAACUUAGGACCAAUCAAUGAAUGGUACGUUUCUGGUUUUGAUGGUGGUAGCAAAGCACUCAUUGGAUUGGGAACAGAUUUUGCUGAAUAUAUUCUGCUGAAUCCAAGUGAACUCUAUGCUCCUUAUAUGAAUGCUGUUCAAGAGAAAAUAUAUCUGAGCAAGUGUGUUAUUGAAUGCCUUAUAGAAAAUAAUGAGGCUAGUUAUGAAGACUUAUUGAACAAGUUAGAGAAUACUGUCCCACCCCAAGGCAUUUCAACAUUCUCUGAGGAUUCUCUCCUGCGCCACGCCCAAUUCAUUGUGGAUCAAAUUGAAAGUUAUGAUUCAGCUGCUAAUGAAUAUGAUCCAAUUCUUAUCGUUUCUCCUGCAAUAAGAGCUUUGAUAGAGUUAUCAGGAAUAACACUAGGAAAACAACAUCGUAUAAAGAUACCAACUCAAGGUCGAAUAGCUAAAGCAAAGAAGCCUGUCCAUACAUUAGCUACUACAACACCACUUGUACAUAGUAUAUUUGAAAUGUUUUUUACUGGUCAACUGGAGGAUGAUAAAAAAAACAGUGCUCCUCGAAGAAAAAGAUGUGGAGUUUGUGAAGCUUGUCAACUUCCAGAUUGUGGGAAAUGUAACUUCUGUCGGGAUAUGGUGAAAUUUGGUGGAAGCGGUAGAGGAAAACAAGCAUGUGCUCUCAGACGUUGUCCUAAUAUGGCUGUUCAAGAAGCUAAUGAGGAUGAUAUUUUAACAGAUAACUUAGAAGAUGAAAUGGAUAAGAAAGCUACCUCAACUGUAAAUGGAACUAGCUCACGAAAAGGAACUUCUGUUACUUCCAAAUUUGACGUUAGUUGGAUUGGUAAGUCUUCCUUUGAAGCAGAAUCAAGAAAGUAUUAUUUUGAAGCUAAGAUCAAUGAUUUCACACUAAAACUAGGAGACUUCGUUUUCGUAACACCUUCAGAGCCCAGCACUCCUAUGUUUAUUGGUAAAGUCUUAUCUAUGUUCGAAACACCAUCUGGGAAGAAGAAAUGUCAUGCAAUGUGGUUUGAGCGAGGUACUGAUACUGUAUUAGGAGAGACAUCUGAUCCCCAUGAAAUAUUUGGAACUUCUGAAUGUGGUGAUAUAGGGCUAGCCACUAUUCGUAAUAAAUGUAAUGUUAUCUUUAAAGCUCCUGCACCAAAUUGGCAUGAACUUGGAGGCACUGAAGAUUCCUUAUUUGAUACAGUGGAAUUAGUUGAUGAAUCGUCAUUUUUCUAUCAAAAAUGGUAUGAUGCAGACACAUGCAGAUUUGAAGACCCACCUCUAUAUCAUAAUUCUAUGCCUAGUUGUGAUGAGAAUAAAACAAUCUGUUUUGGAUGUAUAAAAUACGAAAAUGCUGAAGAAUUGGCAACUGUUAGCUUUAUUCAAUAUGAUGAGGAUAAAGAUACAAAAUAUUAUAAGAGUGGUCGGUGGCUAGGACAAACAAUACAAGUAGGAGAUUGUGUUUAUAUAAAUCCUGAUGUUUUCAGUUUUCCUAAGAAGAAAGUAGUUAAGACAGAAAGUACUGAGUCAGAGAAAGAGGUUGAUGAAACUGUGUAUCCAGAAGCGUACAGAAAAAGCGACUACGUAAAAGGCUCAAACCUAGAUGUACCUGAACCAUUUAAAAUUGGAUUCAUAACAAAACUUUUCCAAAAGAAAAGAGGAGAUCCCAAAGUAACUGUUAAAGCAUUCUAUAGACCAGAAAAUACUUCCCGAAGUGAAUCUUUGAAUCACUCAGCAGAUUUCAAUCUACUGUUUUGGAGUGAUGAAGAAUAUACUUUUGAAUUCACAAAUAUUAAAGGAAAAUGUUAUGUUGUCUUCAGUGAAAAUCUUACUGAGUCAGUAGAUGAUUAUUUCAAAGGUGGUCCGCAUCGUUUUUAUUUUAAUGAGGCCUAUGAUAGUUCUACUGGAACCUUUGAUGAACCACCAUCUAUUGCUCAACGAAUUGGAAGAGUUGGCAAGGGGAAAGGAAACAUUAAAGGAAAAAAGACGACUUCCAACGAAAAAGUUGAAAGCAAACCUGAAGAGUAUCCUGUUAUUAAUGAAAAGCUUAAGACUCUUGAUGUUUUUAGUGGUUGUGGUGGUUUGUCUGAGGGCUUCCAUGAAGCUGGUGUCAGCGAUACUCGGUGGGCUAUCGAAAAAGAAGAACCAGCUGCUCAAGCCUUUAGACUGAAUUUUCCGGAAUGUUCUGUAUUUACAGAAGAUUGCAAUCUCUUAUUACGUCUUGUUAUGGAUGGUCAAGAGACAACGUACAAAGGUCAGAACCUUCCACAAAAAGGAGAAGUAGAACUGCUCUGUGGUGGUCCGCCAUGCCAAGGAUUCAGUGGCAUGAACAGAUUUAACUCUCGGCAAUAUUCACUCUUCAAGAACUCUUUAAUUGUAUCCUAUUUAAGUUAUUGUGAUUACUAUCGGCCUAGGUUCUUCUUGCUUGAAAAUGUCAGGAACUUUGUGUCUUUCAAAAGGAGCAUGAUUCUUAAGCUGGCUUUAAGUACUCUAGUACGCAUGGGGUAUCAGUGUACGUUUGCUGUUCUACAAGCUGGUCAAUAUGGCGUUCCUCAAACUAGAAGAAGGGCUAUAAUUUUAGCAGCUGCCCCUGGAGAGAAACUUCCUUCCUUUCCUGAACCUCAACAUGUCUUUUCACCUCGUGCUACACAACUAACUGUUGUUGUAGAUGAUAAAAAAUAUAGACCUAAUAUAAAGUGGACAUCAUCCGCGCCUUAUCGCACAGUUACAGUUGGGGAUUCAAUGUCUGAUUUGCCAUCUAUAAAAAAUGGAGCCAAGGCUGAAGAAAUUUCGUACUCGGGUGAUCCAGUCACGCAUUUUCAAAAAAAAGCUAAGAGGUCAGACUUAUCAACCAGUAUUGAGGGACCACAUUUGUAAAGAAAUGAAUCCUCUUGUUGAAGCAAGAAUGAGGCAUAUUCCAACGGUUCCUGGUGCUGAUUGGAGAGAUCUUCCAAACAUAAGUGUAAGGCUUAGUGAUGGGAGUAACACUAAAAUUCUAAACUAUACGCAUCAAGAUAUUAAGAAUGGAAAAUCUUCUACUGGUGCUCUUCGAGGUGUCUGUGCAUGUGCCAGUGGUAAAGCAUGCGACCCAAUGGAUCGACAGUUUGGAACACUGAUUCCGUGGUGCUUACCACAUACUGGUAAUCGACAUAAUAAUUGGAGUGGUCUGUAUGGUCGUUUAGAAUGGGAUGGAUUUUUUUCAACAACCAUAACAAAUCCUGAGCCAAUGGGAAAACAGGGACGAGUUUUGCAUCCAAAUGAAAACAGAGUUGUAAGUGUUCGUGAGUGUGCCAGAUCCCAAGGCUUCCCAGAUUCUUACAGGUUCUUCGGUACAAUAUUGGACAGACAUAGACAG